CCUGUUGUGGACGCUCGACUUGCGUUCCCCUGUAGUUGCUGUACUCCUCCUGCGGUUCCUCCUGAAACCACAAACACCCAUCAUUAUCCCAUAUUAAUCCACAUAUCACACGCAACAUCAACAUUCAAAAUAAUAUUCAUUUCUCUUUUACCAAAUCUUUUCUUUCUCAUCACAUACAUUCCUCCCUAUUAUCCUUUAACUUUUCAGCUCAUUAGUAGUCCAAGUGGACAUCAUAAAUUCAAUUUUUUGAUUACAGUUUAUUCUUUUUGAAGAUCAAGACACACUUUAUGAAAAGCAAGAUCACAAAUUCUACACUUGAUAUGGCUAAAUUUCUCCGUUUUAUCAACUUGGCCGAAUCUGCCAGCAGCGGUGGCAGCUCGACCUCUCCUUAGUUUUUUAUUUGUAUAUGGAGUUCUAGGACUCCAAAUUAGGCGAGGUCAGAUUCGUUGGAAAGCUAACACUCCUAGCUACACUUCUAUGAGGGGACCCUCCCUAAAUUUUGUAGUUUUCAGGUCCAAAAUCCCCCCAGGAAACAGGGCAACGAACCUGUCCUGUUUUGCUAAGGAAGAAGGUAUCUCCAUUUCAUCUUAAAUCCAUGCUUCCUCAUCAGUCACAGCCAUGCCUUCCCUUUAUUCAUGGCAUUCCCGUAUCCUUUUAUGUCCUCCUAAUGUCACUGGUAUCAAAUUAAUUAAUUAAACACAUCAUAAGUUCUCAUUCCCUCUCUGCUGUAUCCAGCAGAGAACGUGGCCAAGGGAACCGAGAGUUCCCUUCCUCUCUUUUAUGCACUCAUUUCUUCUUCUUCUUUAAGGCACUUAGAUUAAUCUAAUCCAUUUAACCUCACUCAUUUCUGCAUUUUCCCAACAUUUUAUGUUAAAGAAACCUAAUUCCCAAUUCAAGAAAGGCAUAAACUUCUAAUCAAAUUGAAGUUGAUUUCAUAGAAAUUGGAAUUAGAACUCCUUACUUGGAUGGAAUCUAAACUUUACUUCACAAAUUUUAGAAGAAUCUUAGCCUUCUUCUCCUUGUAUGUUGUCAGCUACUCUUCCCCCUCUUUUCUUCACCAAUUCUUCACUUUUCUUCUUGUUAAUUCUUCCACCCGAUUGUGUUCCUCCACUUUAUAAUUCCAAGGCUUAUUUGGGUUUACUAAUUUUAGGUGUUUAC
rnacentral:lncRNA from 1 species